UAAAUAAUAUGAAUUGAUUUCCUUGGCAAAAGUUUUACUUAACUUAGAGGCAGUUCUGGCACUGGAAGGGUUAAUUCACCCAAUGGAGGAGAAAUUAGAAGCCUGAAUUAACAAGCUGAGAAUUAGGAGUGGAGAGUGAGGAAGUCCGUUUUACAAGCCGAGGUCUGGGAGAGGAGAAGGUAGAAUUCCGUUUUACAAGCCGAGGUCGAGAAGUGGAGAAGGUAGAAAUCCGUUUACUAGCCGAGGUCGAGAGAGGAGAAGGUAGAAAUCCGUUUUACAAGCCGAGGUCGAGAGAGGAGAAGGUAGAAAUCCGUUUUACAAGCCGAGGUCGAGAAGUGGAGCUGGUAGCAUCAAGGUAGAGCAGCUGAUCUCUAUGCAGCAC